rnacentral:lncRNA from 1 species
GAAACUGUAAGGGCGUCUUCAUAGAGAAAUUAGUGUCCUUCUGUUUUGUCAGUGUAGCAGGGCCCUUUUUACAUUCAGAAAAUUUUCUUUAAACUCCCAAACCUUUGGGAGGCGAGUUCCAUUAUGUUAAAACAAAAACAGUCGCUUCCUUUCAGACUUGUCGACAGUCUCAUAAAUUAGCGAGAAGAAUCUGAAUCUUAACUCUCAAAAACGAGGAAUAUAUUUCAAAAACAAGGACUGACGUCUCU